AUGCACGCUGGCGGCGUGCCUAAUACAUGCAAGUCGAGCGAACAGACGAGGAGCUUGCUCCUCUGACGUUAGCGGCGGACGGGUGAGUAACACGUGGAUAACCUACCUAUAAGACUGGGAUAACUUCGGGAAACCGGAGCUAAUACCGGAUAAUAUAUUGAACCGCAUGGUUCAAUAGUGAAAGACGGUUUUGCUGUCACUUAUAGAUGGAUCCGCGCCGCAUUAGCUAGUUGGUAAGGUAACGGCUUACCAAGGCAACGAUGCGUAGCCGACCUGAGAGGGUGAUCGGCCACACUGGAACUGAGACACGGUCCAGACUCCUACGGGAGGCAGCAGUAGGGAAUCUUCCGCAAUGGGCGAAAGCUUGACGGAGCAACGCCGCGUGAGUGAUGAAGGUCUUCGGAUCGUAAAACUCUGUUAUUAGGGAAGGACAAAUGUGUAAGUAACUAUGCACGUCUUGACGGUACCUAAUCAGAAAGCCACGGCUAACUACGUG
rnacentral:rRNA from 1 species